GAGGAAUCAGAUUUGUGUCUUGCAGGUUGAGAGUGUUGGGGUGGUCCAUUGGAUAUUAGAGCAACAAAGUAGAAGCAGAGGGAGACCAUUUAGGAGAAAAGAGCAUAGAACCUGAAGGAGACGGAACUCUCUGGAGGAGAUCCCUCAUCAUUCUCAUAGCUAACAGCCACAGAGGGGGUCCUGGCUCUAUGGUAUCCAGACAAGGAAAAGAAUAUCUUUUGAGGGCAGGAACAGCGGGCAGAUUGACCCUGUCACAAUCGACCUGCAUCCUAUCACGUAUCGCUCAAGGUCCUCGCCAGGAUCCGACAGGGUUCGUAUUCUUACCCAGGUCAGAACUGAGUUCCCACACGACAGAAGAUACCUACAACCCUGCAGCAGCCGAUGCUGCCUGACCCGCUGAGUUCCUCCAGCAGUUUGUUUUCUGCUCCAGAACUCUCCUGUUCUUCAAAAUAACAACAUGGGGUAUUAUUUCUUCUUGACGUGGAGCCUCCAUUCAACAAAGCAUCCACAAGACAGCACCGCCAACAGUGACGCACACCUGCAGCACAUCAACUUUGGCUUUGCU